AAGACUAAACUUUUAUUUCUAUAAUUCAUUACUAGAGACCUUUCUCUGAACACACAGAGCACCAGAAACCACAGGAAUAAGUACAGGGUUCUCUCCUGAGUGUGGAACUGGCUCUCCGUGCUGCUUUGCUGUAACUGCCAUUUGCCAUUGAUAAUCAUUCUCUACUUUGGGGAGGGUGAGAGGGAGAAGAUACCAUCUGAGU
rnacentral:snoRNA from 1 species